UGGAUUAAAUCAAACUUAACUCAACAAAAACACACACGUACGUGUGUUCCUGCGAUUUCCACAGAGCUUCUAGAGCUCAAACCCUAAACUCCAAGAAUUCACCAAAUUGAAAGGGGAAAUCAAGCCUAAAUCGAAAUCCAAGCAUAGAUUAUUGAUCCUCAUCACAAGAGGAUUACAAGUUUGACGCAUAACAAGCUAGGUGGAAGCUUGGAGUGAAAGCGGGUCAAACAAGUCAAGCAUGGAAGAAAAGCAUAGCUCGGAUGCAAUGAGCGAUUAGCGAUUCGGAUGAUUGCUUCGCCAUAGAAUAUGUGAUAAUAAAGGCGAGGUAUAAACCGGGUCUAAUUGUGUUAACCCGGGCCAG